CUGUAUUCUCGUGUAAUCGGAUUUGGUAGGAUUAGAGGAUGCACAUGAGGUAGAAGGCAAGAUUUGUUCGCCAAUUUUGAGCGAAAUUUCUAGAUUUUGGGGAAUUUUCUAUUGACUGCAAUGUGCAUAAUUUCCAUCAAUUUGUUCUGUUUACUGUAGGUGAUCGUAGAGAUGAAUUCACAGUAGAGAUUCACCAUGGUGGUUUUUUUUGUUGAUUCUAGAAGUCUCAGAUCAUAUGUGGAUGAAAGUGUGUCAUGGUUUGAUUGUAUAGAGGCAGAUACAUGGUCUCCUUUGUGGUUUUCGGACUUUGCAGAGCAGUUAGGCUAUUACAACAAUUGUGAGGUAUUCAAUAGCUACAUUCUAGAAGCUAGGGACUUGCCAAUACUUAGCAUGUUGGAAAGGAUUAAGUGCCAACUAAUGACAAGGCACUAUAACAAGCAACAAGAGAUAGGAGAAGAUAUACAAGGUGCUUUUUGUCCCAAAAUUAGAAAAAAAGGUUGCAAAAAAUGCAGAAUUUGCAAAUAUAUGCUUUGCUUCACCAUCAGGACAGGGUGUGUUCCAGGUGCAGAUAAAGGAUUACCAACACAUAGUAGAUAUCAAUGCUACAUGUGAUUGUAGAAGGUGGCUUGUUGUCAUGCUAUCUCAUGCUUGAGAAGUGAGAGGAUCCCACCUGAGAGUGUCUUUGCUGCAUGUUAUUCUGUGCAUGCUUUCAGAAUGCAUAUGGAAGCAACAUUUGGCUUUGCAAGGACAAAACCGAGUGGAAAAAUGUAAAUGGGCCUGAAGUAUUACCACCAGUUUAUGAGAAGAAAAUAGGUAGGCCACCAAAGUCUAGGAGGGAACAGCCACAAUAAGUCCAAGGAAAGAAUGGACCUACACUAAGUAGGCAUGGUGUGGUCAUACACUGCAAACAUUGUUCAGAUGCUGGCCACAAUUCUAGUGGUUGCAAGUAUAAGAAGAUGGGGUUGAGUACAGAAGAAGCAAAAAAAUUAGUGGCCACAACACGUGCUACGUUAGCAUAGGAAGCUGAACAAGCUGCUGCACAGGCAACCACAAACCAGCAGGCAACCACAAACCAGAAGAACAACCACAUGAAGAGUGUCCUAUCAAUCGGGAGUUGAGGCAAGAAGGACAGAUUGAGGCCAUGACACAAGCCAGCACAACUCUAUUAAGUUAGAUGAUAUGAGAGGGUUCUGAACCUACAUCACUAUCUCAACCUCAGGGGCCAUUGCCGGAUAGUGCCUUCAUUACCAGCAAUCAACCUGCAGGAAGACCUAUAGCAUUGACUACAUGCACAAAGGCAGGAAAGGCAGCUGCAAGUAGACGUCGUGUGGUCAUACACUGCAAACAUUGUUCAGAUGCUGGCCACAAUUCUAGUGGUUGCAAGUAUAAGAAGAUGGGGUUCACUUCAGAAGAAGCAAAAGAAUUAGUGGCCACAACACAUGCUACGUUAGCACAGGAAGCUGAACAAGCUGCUGCACAGGCAAAUACAAACCAGCAGGUUGAACAAGCUGCUAUCAAUCAGGAAAGUACGAAGAGGAAGGCUGCAAGAACAAGAUCCAAUGAUGCAAAUGAAGCAACGGCAAAGAACUCCAACCCAAGAAAGGGAGCAGCAGCUAACAAGUCCUGAGUGCAAGAGUGUCCAAGAUGUAAACAAGUCCUGAGUGCAUUUAUCUCUUUUGAACAUGUCAAAAUGUCGGCUUGUUUAUACCUUUUCGUUUGCUGAAUGUUGGUACUGUUGAGUAUGUCGUAGUGUCAUCCUGCUACUGUUAAAACACUUUUCCCUGUCAUCUCUUGCAUUGUUUCGUUUUCCUGUAUAUAUGGCUGUUGCAAAUCUGCUGUUUCAUCGUUUUUCC